GAACUCAAAGCUGACCUGUUUAUUCAAUUUUGCGACCCGAGUUAGAGGUGUUGAGUUGGUCCUGCUAGAGAACAAGUUGAUAUACAAGAGCUCCUAAAGAUAAAAACAAUGCUUGAGAAAGCUCAACUGGAAUGCAAGGCCAAAGAUAAUCUUUAAAAAAGGCUUGAAGAAAAUCAACAGAACCUUGAAAUCAAGCUAAGGGAAAGGAUCAGUUUUACAAAAAAUAUUGGAAGAAACUAAAAGAGUUAGAGGGCCAAGUAGAGUUGAACUCAUCACUGCAAUGCCAAUAAGAGAGAAAGGUUUCACAUCUUUUGGAGAAGUUAAAAGGGAAAGAAGAAUCGUGUUCCAAACUUAAACACAAGGUCAGAUAAAACGAGAGAAAAAUAAAAGCUGAAAAAAGAGAAAAAAAGCUGAAACAACAAUAGAGAGAAAAAAAGACUGAAAUAGCACGAGGAAAAUCAUUCUACAACAUACAAAAAGAAGGUCUGAGAAGAAGCUGAGUGAGCAAAUACAACAAUUUGUGAGUCCAGUUCUCAAACACUUGAACACGAGGUUCCUUGCACUUGUUAAUGCAUUCAUUUUUUUGGAAAAGUGUGAUCCAACCCAAGUACAUUUUAAAAGAUAUACACGUAUAACAAAUGUUCAAUAAUUUCCUUAGGUCAAAGAGCUUGAAAGGAAGCUGACAUAAAAAGAAGAAAAUAAGGAUAUUCACUUCCUCUGUUUAGGGUAUAGGGUUUAGGGUUUAGGGUUUAGGGUUUAGGGUUUAGGUAGCUUGUAACGUGUUUAGGGUUUCGAGUUCGUGAUUGUGAAUCUGUGAUAGAGUUGUGUCCGAAUAACAAUUAUACGUCUAUUCUCUCAAACAAAUGGGAUAUCUUCAAGUGCCGAGUUCAUUUAAAGAUCCAUUUUUAUGUCCAAAUUACCACUACAAGGACAUUAAUU